GACCCGGUGGCGAACAGUCCGCGUCUGCUUUCGUUAACAUGGAACCGAUUCUCAGCAGAAGGCGCCCGUUCGAUUCGGGCCUGGGUCA